rnacentral:lncRNA from 1 species
AGCAAAAAAGUGUAGCUCAAACAAACAGAAGAAGUUUUUAACAUUUUCAUGUUCUAGGUAUCAACAGAUUUGACAGCAACACUGGAAGAGAUUGAAAGUCUCAGAACAGCAUAACAAGUUGUGUCACACCUUUUCCUGAACUUUGGCUCAAUUGAAGAAGGAAACUUUCAGGGGAAUUCCAAUAGUAAACAACAGAACCAGCAGUUUUACAAUAAACUGCAGAGCUCCAUUUCAAAACACAAAAAUAGAGCGUCUCUGCAGUGAUGUACUGCCUUAAGGAAGGUAGAUUCCACCUUUGAAGGAGUCUUACAAAACCAUUGCCUUUAUCUACAUUUAGCAGGUAAAUGCAAUGAUUAAAUAUGAAGAAGAGCAUUGACAAGAUGAAAUGGGCUCAUUCUCAGCAAUGUUAUUUCAAAAAGAAAACCUGAGUGAUUCACGUAUUCAUAUGUCCAUCUGAAAAUGUCCUUCUCUCAACAAACUACUCAGUGAAAACUCAUCUUCAUAUAGUUAAUGCUGGAGUGCUAAUAAACUGUUGCAAAUUUCAAAAAUAGUGUCAUAACUUCCUAUACAGAGUCUAAAGAAAGUGGAGGUGUGAUGUAGUCUAGGGUUAUCAAUAGGGCAGCAUGACUUGAUGGGGCUUAAGACUUCUACACACAGCCAGCAAGCAUUUAAUGAGCAUCCCUGAGGGGCUUAAUGUUCCAUACUAUUACUCAAGGACUUUUUCUUAUUUGCCAAGAUUACUUGGUAAAUCUACAAAGCCAAGUGGCCUAUGGCCAGAGUUCAAAUAGUUUCUUGUCAAUUCUUCCCUCCCUUUCACAGUUGCAAGGCAUGGAAAAGAGGAAAUGGGAUGAGAUGGGAUGGCUUUCGUCCUGGCCUGCUUCAAGCACUGUUUCACCAUAAAAAAGGAACUCUCCACUGCUCCUCUUAAACAGAUAAAAUAUUUUGUGCUUAGAAUUCAAUGACUCAUCCCACUUGGACAUAACUACAUUCUUUCUAGGGCGGAAAUCUCGCAUUCAAGUGCAGCUGGCCAAGUUGAAGAAAGAACUUCAAGGCAGUUCUGGGAAAGAACUUUAAGCCUUAGCCCUGAUUAUGAGAAAGAAGUUUUGCUCUUUGCAAAGGAUUAGGAGCAUAACUGUGCUAGUGAAUAACAAUCUCGGACUUAGCCAAAGAAUGCUUGGGUGGGAUUUUGAUUAUCAUUAUGGUAUUUUUUAAAAUGUAAGCAUCUAAGUCUUCAAAUUCUUUGAUAAAUUUAAUUUUAAUACUUAAUUUUGGGCAAUCAAAGCACAAAGAAGUAGAAACUGGAGUGAAAAUGGGUGGGUUACCAGAUACUUACAAUAAUAAAAGUGUCAUUUUGCCAACUUAUUUUGUAGCUAAAAUUACAAUUUUCAAUGCUAUAUGUAGUUGAAGAUAGCCAUCAUCUGCGAGUGCUUAUUAUAUGCCAGGAACUAAGCUAAGCUCUUAACCUGCAAAAUUUCAUUCAAUCCUUGCAUAGACACUAUGUGAUAGAUGGACUACAAUUGCCACAUUGAAUCAACAUUUGCCUGAGAGACCAAUGGGCAUUUAUUGAACACUAUUUAGGGAUUAAUGUGAAGCGGUGGCAAAGAAGGAAAGGUAUAGCAUUUAGAGGAACACAGUAUUUCAUAGAAUCUUAGUGAGGGAAGGGAUGUUGAAGGACUAAGGCUGAUGCCAACUCCGUUGGGCAAGUAAUCAUCGCUUCUAGCUUUUAUAAAUUAUUAAAAUAUAUUUUGAUUUCAGUUUUUCUGAUCUGUUUAUAUUGUCUCUUAAGUCCUUUAGAAUCACUUCACACUAUGCUCUCAUCCAGGUGAAAAGGAACUCAGAAAGAAUGUAAUUAGCCUCAUUUUCUAGCCUAAAACCUUGUGCAGUGGACCUAGAGGCUCCCAAACACGUGCUAAGGUGUAAGGGCCCAUGGGCUGCAUAUCAGUAGGUAACCAAGGCAUUCUUUUGUGUAUGUGUUGCCCAAAUCCCUUAAGAGCACCUAUACAUCUUGACAAUUUUCAGUACAAAUCCUUUUCAAGUGAAAAAUAAACAAGUAUUUAAUACUUAAAAAUCUUUCUUUCUGUUUCAGACAGAAUUCCAGCUGUCUGCUUCUUCCGUCCCUCCAACAAAAACAAAACAAGGGACUUGCAUCCAUUUACAGUCUACAUAGUUUAAUCUUCGUGCUAUCUUAUAGGAGGAGUUCCUCUUGCUGUAUUUCUGAUAUUGGCAACCUCUUCCAUUGUCUGCAUACUCUCUGGUAUCCCUUAAUGCUAUGCCAUAGUCAUUGCAACUCUGUUAGUUCAAACCUAUAUUAGUUAUUUUUUAAAUUGCUGUUGCUUACUAAUUUUAGGUUCAUUUUCAGUCCUACCCUUUCCCUACCAAUCUACCAUUGCUGCCGCCAUUACCUUUACAAAACACACCACAAGUCUUAUCUGCAUUAAACCUGCUUAAAACUGGUGAUAAGCCCUCACUGUUCCUUAAGGCCUGCAGGAUAAAAUACCAACUCCUCAGUGCUGGGGUUUGGAGCAGAGCUUAAUUACUCACUUUUCUUCUUUUGCACAUUGUGGAUCAAUUCUGAAUUGGACACAUAAGUCAGAUGGGAAUGAAAAUGCAGUGCCUGAUUCACUGCUGAGAAUGCAGCACUGGGGCUGGGGCCAGAGGCAGGCUAAAAUGAGGCCAUGGCAAUCUUCCCCGUGAAUUUACCUAAGUUCAGGAAGAGCUGCUGGGGAGCAGUAUCCCAUUUUCUUUUGGUGCAGGCUUUGGGGUCUGGAGAUUACUUUAGAAGUUGAACAAUCUAUGACAAGCCUGUUUGCAGGGUUUGAGGAGUCUCUAGAAAUAACCUUUAGAAUCUCAGAGGGAGGCCAGACUAUUCGAUAUUUAGAAAUUCAACAGGCUAGUCAAUUAGAACAGGGAUCUACUAUGGCAUGUUCCUUAAAUCCAACCUGGUUUUGGAGUUUCUGUCUCUGAAUAAUGUCUUUACCUUCUUGCCCCUUGGUCCCUGCACUUAGAACCAUGGGCUGGCGUAAUGAGGGGGGCUGUCUCUUUAAAAUGAGCUUGUCUUUUAAGGCGGGGAGUACAUAGCCAGAAGUUUUUGGUAAGGGCCUAGGAAAUUAGGUUUCCCCCAGUGUUCCUGCUUUUCCUGCAAUUCAGUAUUAUCUCCUUUCAAAACAGAAAACUCAUACUUUGUGUCUUCUCAAGGAUUGCUGGAGGAAGAAAUGAUCUCUUUGGUGAGGCUACAUAGGCCCUUCCCUCUGUUGUAGAGGGACAGCUUGGUCUGAAGCUUCUAGGAUAAUAAAGGCUGCAAAAUAUGGUCGGCCCAUUUUAACUUUGUCACAACAUAUCUGGAGAGACACAGAAGUGAAUUUGUUGAGUCCCAGGAACAGCAAGGAAAAACCUUCCCUGCUGCUUUGCUACCACUUAAGAGGCACCACUAACAUCCCAGGUAAAGAGGGGCAGUGUUGACCGCCCAGGGUCCCACCUGUUGUCUGUCUUUCCUUUCAUUUUAAUGCCUGUCAAUUCCAACACCCCACUUCCAGGUACCCAUCUCUGCAUUUGGCAGGAUUGUUUUGGGUGCAAAUGAGAGAAACCCAGCUCAAGCUAGAUUAUGGCUGGAAAUACGGAAGUCUAAGGGGUAUCUCUGGCAUCAGGCUUGGCUGCAUCUAGGGGUUUAAACUGCAUUAUGAAGCCUUUCUCUCUCCAUAUCUUGGCUCUUCCCUCUGGUGGUCUUUAGCUUCAGAAAGUCUCUAUUUUUAUAACUCUUUCUGGUACUAGAGAAAGAAAGACCCUUCUUUUCCCAGAAACUUUAUAUCAAAUAUGAUGAAGAAGGUCUGAUUGGUGCUCAGUUUGGGGCUAAUCUCCCUGAUCAAUUGCAGUGGCCAGAGGGAUGAGCUCUUCUGAACAGCCAGGUCUGGGUCAUAUGUCUUGUGCCUAUCUACCUCUGGGAACCAGAGGCAAAGGUAGAAGGAGGUUGGGCUUUUCUGAAGGAAGACAGUGGAACAGACAAGAAACAUAUGUUCACUAUACAGACUCUAUCACACUGUACUGUAAUUAUGUGUUUAUGUGCCUGAUUUAGUUUCCACAUCAGACUCAGAGCUGCUACAUGGUGAAGAUCACAAUUUGUCAGUCUCAGAAAGUCAGAUGGACACGGCUAAGUCUGGAUUUCGCUCCCUUCAUAAAGGAAAAAAAGAGAAUUUCCCAAGCACUGCAGCCAUGUGGCCAUGUGGCAUCUCCCCUAACCACCAGAGCCAGCCGGGUCAACACCCUUUUCGUCACACUGAGAAAGGAUGCUGGCAC